UACGUAGGGUGCAAGCGUUAAUCGGAAUUACUGGGCGUAAAGCGUGCGCAGGCGGUUAUGCAAGACAGAUGUGAAAUCCCCGGGCUCAACCCUGGGAACUGGCAUUUGUGACUGCAUAGCUGGAGUGCGGCAGAGGGGGAUGGAAUUCCGCGUGUAGCAGUGAAAUGCGUAGAUAUGCGGAGGAACACCGAUGGCGAAGGCAAUCCCCUGGGCCUGCACUGACGCUCAUGCACGAAAGCGUGGGGAGCAAACAGG
rnacentral:rRNA from 1 species